ncrna:unclassified sequences Mu-gpT-DE RNA
UCCUGACAACUGCAUUGGGCGGUUGACACUAGCCACGACAGGAGACUUAAAUG